rnacentral:misc_RNA from 1 species
AGUAAAUAUCAUCAAAUUUCGGCAUUGUGCCAAAGUUUGGAUUAUGUCAAGGAAGCUUUUACUAUUAAUGUGGAUAGCUCUUUGGAAAUCAAUAGGUCUUCAAGUGGCUAUCAUUGAAACGUGAUGAAAAUUCCUUCGUUGAAAUGUAGUUGACUUAUGUAGUCCUAAAACUUACAUACCCUUUUGGUAUUUUUUAA